rnacentral:rRNA from 1 species
AUUGCCCUAGUAACGGCGAGUGAAGCGGCAACAGCUCAAAUUUGAAAUCUGGCGUCUUUGGCGUCCGAGUUGUAAUUUGCAGAGGGCGCUUUGGCAUUGGCAGCGGUCCAAGUUCCUUGGAACAGGACGUCACAGAGGGUGAGAAUCCCGUACGUGGUCGCUAGCCUUUACCGUGUAAAGCCCCUUCGACGAGUCGAGUUGUUUGGGAAUGCAGCUCUAAAUGGGAGGUAAAUUUCUUCUAAAGCUAAAUACUGGCCAGAGACCGAUAGCGCACAAGUAGAGUGAUCGAAAGAUGAAAAGCACUUUGGAAAGAGAGUUAAAAAGCACGUGAAAUUGUUGAAAGGGAAGCGCUUGCAGCCAGACUUGCCUGUAGUUGCUCAUCCGGGUUUUUACCCGGUGCACUCUUCUAUAGGCAGGCCAGCAUCAGUUUGGGCGGUUGGAUAAAGGUCUCUGUCAUGUACCUCUCUUCGGGGAGAACUUAUAGGGGAGACGACAUGCAACCAGCCUGGACUGAGGUCCGCGCAUCUGCUAGGAUGCUGGCGUAAUGGCUGUAAGCGGCCCGUCUUGAAACACGGACCAAGGAGUCUAACAUCUAUGCGAGUGUUUGGGUGUCAAGCCCGAGCGCGUAAUGAAAGUGAACGGAGGUGGGAACCUUUCGGGGUGCACCAUCGACCGAUCCUGAUGUCUUCGGAUGGAUUUGAGUAAGAGCAUAGCUGUUGGGACCCGAAAGAUGGUGAACUAUGCUUGAAUAGGGUGAAGCCAGAGGAAACUCUGGUGGAGGCUCGCAGCGGUUCUGACGUGCAAAUCGAUCGUCAAAUUUGGGCAUAGGGGCGAAAGACUAAUCGAACUAUCUAGUAGCUGG